UCCCCUGUGGUGAAAAAGCAAUCACGCGGCCCUGCGAAGGCCGGGGUCCGGGUGCAAGUCCCGGCAGGGGGA
rnacentral:tRNA from 1 species